rnacentral:rRNA from 1 species
AUUGAACGCUAGCGGGAUGCUUUACACAUGCAAGUCGAACGAGUGGCGGACGGGUGAGUAAUAUAUCGGAACGUGCCCCGUAGCGGGGGAUAACUACUCGGAAAAGUCUCUUAUUCCCCCUACUCUUUGAGCGGCCGAUAUCGGAUGAGCUAGUUGGGGGGGGAAAGGCUCACCAAGGCAAUGAUCCGUCGCGGGUUUGAGAGGUAGACCACCCACACUGGGACUGAGACCCGGCCCAGACUCCUACGGGAGGCAGCAGGGGGGAAGUUUGGACAUUGGGGGAAGCCCUGAGCCAGCCAUCCCGCGUGUAUGAGAAGGCCUUCGGGUUGUAAAGUACUUUUGGCAGAGAAGCGGUAUCUGCAGAAUAAGCACCGGCUAACUACGUGCCAGCAGCCGCGGUAAUUC